CUCGGCUUGGAAACUGGGGCUUCGGCCUUGGAUUGUAGCCUCUAGACAUAGUACCAACGGAGGCGCAGGUGUAAGCCUCUUGGAAAAGAGCAUCAACGUGGGUGAGAAUCCCGUGUUUCAUCUGCAGUCCACCGUGCACGGUACAUGUUCUCAGAGUCGCGUACCUCGGAAUUGGUGCGUAAAGUGGGUGGUAAAUUUCAUCUAAAGCUAAAUAUAGGCUUGAGACCGAUAGCAAACAAGUACCAUGAGGGAAAGAUGAAAAGGACUUUGAAAAGAGAGUUAAAAGUGUUUGAAAUUGCUGAAAGGGAAGCGAAUGGAACCAGUCCUCUGGCUGAGAUUGGUGCAUGCUCCUGUGAUGCCCGGCUGCUUCAGCGCAAGCGUGGUAGUUGGAGUUGAGCGGCUGUGUGUGCUGUUUCUCAGCUUGUGAGUCAACUUCUGUUCAUGCUUGGGGAUAGCCUCUUUGUCAUGACGAUCUCUGCGGAGUUAGUCUUGUCUUUGUAGGGACUCAGGCGUGUACAGC
rnacentral:rRNA from 1 species